rnacentral:rRNA from 1 species
GAUGAACGCUGGCGGCGCGCCUAACACAUGCAAGUCGAACGAUUAAAGCACCUUCGGGUGUGUAUAAAGUGGCGAACGGCUGAGUAACACGUGGGCAACCUGCCCCUUUCAUUGGGAUAGCCACGGGAAACCGUGGAUAAUACCGAAUACUUCGAGACUUCCGCAUGGAAGACUCGAGAAAGCUCCGGCGGAGAGGGAUGGGCCCGCGGCCUGUUAGCUUGUUGGUGGGGUAACGGCCUACCAAGGCAAUGAUGGGGAGCUGGGUUGAGAGACCGACCAGCAAGAUUGGACCUAGGACACGGCCAGGCUUCAUAGGGAGGCAGCAGUGGGGAAUCUUGCACAAUGGGCGAAAGCCUGAUGCAGCGACGCCGCGUGCGGGAUGAAGGCCUUCGGGUUGUAAACCGCUUUCAGCAGGGACGAGGCGAAAGUGACGGUACCUGCAGAAGAAGCCCCGGCUAACUACGUG